AACGAACGCUGGCGGCAUGCCUAACACAUGCAAGUCGAACGAAGUCUUCGGACUUAGUGGCGCACGGGUGCGUAACGCGUGGGAAUCUGCCCUUGGGUGCGGAAUAACUUCUCGAAAGGGAUGCUAAUACCGCAUAAUGUCGUAAGACCAAAGAUUUAUCGCUCAAGGAUGAGCCCGCGUAAGAUUAGCUAGUUGGUGGGGUAAAAGCCUACCAAGGCGACGAUCUUUAGCUGGUCUGAGAGGAUGAUCAGCCACACUGGGACUGAGACACGGCCCAGACUCCUACGGGAGGCAGCAGUGGGGAAUAUUGGACAAUGGGCGAAAGCCUGAUCCAGCAAUGCCGCGUGAGUGAUGAAGGCCCUAGGGUUGUAAAGCUCUUUUGCCAGGGAAGAUGAUGACUGUACCUGGAGAAUAAGCCCCGGCUAACUUCGUGCCAGCAGCCGCGGUAAU
rnacentral:rRNA from 1 species